ACCAGGAUGGCUAAUUGUUAAGGAAUUGGGCUUAAAAUUCAAUGGAUGUAUGUCCGCAUGGGUUCAAACCCCUCUCCUGGUG
rnacentral:tRNA from 1 species